rnacentral:rRNA from 1 species
GUCAAGUGGCCUUUCCUUCAACAAGCGUUGCGUAUGAAAGGUUUUCAUCCGGCCUGGAGAAACCAGAUUGAUUCCUUUACGCAAAAAGGGAGUGUCGGGAUUAAGGUGAAUGAUGACGUGGGUCACUAUUUCCAAACACACAAGGGGCUGCGGCAAGGAGACCCUAUGUCACCGAUCCUGUUUAACAUAGUGGCUGAUAUGCUCACUAUUUUAAUAGGUCGGGCAAAGGAUGCAGGACAGGUAGGUGGCCUGGUUCCACAUCUAGUUGACGGCGGGUUGUCCAUUCUUCAGUAUGCUGAUGAUACAAUCAUUUUUAUGGAGCAUGACUUGGCGAAAGCAAGGAACAUGAAGCUGCUGUUAUGCUUAUUUAAACAAUUGUCUGGGCUUAAAAUCAACUUCCACAAGAGCGAAUUGUUUUGCUUUGGAAGAGCCAAUGAUGAACGGGAGUCGUAUCAACAAUUGUUCGGAUGUGAAUUGGGUUCUUUACCGUUUUCGUAUUUAGGUAUACCCAUUCAUCAUCGUAAGCUAUCUAAUAUUGAGUGGAAAUGUCUUGAGGAUCGGUUUGAAAAGAAACUGAGCUGUUGGAAAGGAAAGCUCAUGUCAUACAGAGGUCGAUUAAUUUUGAUUAAUUCGGUCCUCACUAGUAUGCCUAUGUUUCUCUUAUCCUUUUUCUUGGUUCCGGUCGGAGUUAGGAAAAGGUUAGAUUUCUAUCGAUCUAGAUUCUUUUGGCAAAUUGAUGAGCUUAAACGAAAGUAUAGACUUGCG